GUGCCAGCAGCCGCGGUAAUACGAAGGGUGCAAGCGUUACUCGGAAUUACUGGGCGUAAAGCGUGCGUAGGUGGUUGUUUAAGUCUGUCGUGAAAGCCCUGGGCUCAACCUGGGAAUGGCGAUGGAAACUGGACGACUAGAGUGUGGCAGAGGGUAGUGGAAUUCCUGGUGUAGCAGUGAAAUGCGUAGAGGUCAGGAGGAACAUCCGUGGCGAAGGCGACUGCCUGGGCCAACACUGACGCUGAGGAGCGAAAGCGGGGGGAGCAAAAAAGAUUA
rnacentral:rRNA from 1 species